UGAUUUCCAAACAUUCUAAGGAUCACUUGUUAGUGUUCCUUUCCAGCUCUUUUCGUUUUUAUAGGCUUUUAUAACACGAAAGUCAAGCAAAUUGACUUUUGCUUUGACUUUCAUUUUAGACCAUUAUGGUCCAGCAAUUGUUCGAAUCGAACAUGGCUACGUGAUCGUAAUAAGCUCAUCCAAUACCCGAUACCGCCUAUGCACGCUUGGGAUACGGUAAAUUCUUACUGCUUGGUCAGGCAUGCGAUCAAAUGUUGGAUUGUGACUAGAAAAUCCACAUAACCCGUUUUAAUCUAU
rnacentral:lncRNA from 1 species